UACAGAGGUCCCAAGCGUUGUUCGGAUUCACUGGGCGUAAAGGGUGCGUAGGCGGUCGGGUAGGUCUGAUGUGAAAUCCCACAGCUUAACUGUGAAACUGCAUUGGAUACUAUUCGGCUUGAGAGUUGGAGGGGGGACUGGAAUUCUCGGUGUAGCAGUGAAAUGUGUAGAUAUCAAGAGGAACACCAGUGGCGAAGGCAGCUCGCUGGGACGGUACUGACGCUGAGACGCGAAAGCGUGGGGAGCAAACAGG
rnacentral:rRNA from 1 species